rnacentral:rRNA from 1 species
GACAGCAGCCGCCGCGGUAACACGUAGGGUGCGAGCGUUAAUCGGAAUUACUGGGCGUAAAGCGUGCGCAGGCGGUUCGUUAAGACAGAUGUGAAAUCCCCGGGCUUAACCUGGGAACUGCAUUUGUGACUGGCGAGCUAGAGUAUGGCAGAGGGGGGUAGAAUUCCACGUGUAGCAGUGAAAUGCGUAGAGAUGUGGAGGAAUACCGAUGGCGAAGGCAGCCCCCUGGGCCAAUACUGACGCUCAUGCACGAAAGCGUGGGGAGCAAACAGGAUUAGAUACCCGAGUAGUCCCUGUCUCUUAUAA